UUCAGAGAAUUAUUGUCAAAAAAAAAACAACCUCUGGUGUUCCCACUGAAGCUAAGCAUGGUUGAGCCUGGCCAGUACCUGGAUGGGAGAUCUCUUGGGGAAAAUAAGGUUGCUGCUGGAA
rnacentral:rRNA from 1 species